GUAGGUGGCAAGCGUUGUCCGGAAUUAUUGGGCGUAAAGCGCGCGCAGGCGGUUCUUUAAGUCUGAUGUGAAAGCCCACGGCUCAACCGUGGAGGGUCAUUGGAGACUGGAGAACUUGAGUACAGAAGAGGAAAGCGGAAUUCCACGUGUAGCGGUGAAAUGCGUAGAGAUGUGGAGGAACACCAGUGGCGAAGGCGGCUUUCCGGUCUGUAACUGACGCUGAGGCGCGAAAGCGUGGGGAGCAAACAGGGAUUAGAUACCCUGGUAGUCCACGCCGUAAACGAUGAGUGCUAAGUGUUAGGGGGUUUCCGCCCCCUUAGUGCUGCAGCUAACGCAUUAAGCACUCCGCCUGGGGAGUACGGCCGCAAGGCUG
rnacentral:rRNA from 1 species